AGAGUUUGAUCCUGGCUCAGAGCGAACGCUGGCGGCAGGCUUAACACAUGCAAGUCGAGCGGGCGUAGCAAUACGUCAGCGGCAGACGGGUGAGUAACGCGUGGGAACGUACCUUUUGGUUCGGAACAACACAGGGAAACUUGUGCUAAUACCGGAUAAGCCCUUACGGGGAAAGAUUUAUCGCCGAAAGAUCGGCCCGCGUCUGAUUAGCUAGUUGGUGAGGUAACGGCUCACCAAGGCGACGAUCAGUAGCUGGUCUGAGAGGAUGAUCAGCCACAUUGGGACUGAGACACGGCCCAAACUCCUACGGGAGGCAGCAGUGGGGAAUAUUGGACAAUGGGCGCAAGCCUGAUCCAGCCAUGCCGCGUGAGUGAUGAAGGCCCUAGGGUUGUAAAGCUCUUUUGUGCGGGAAGAUAAUGACGGUACCGCAAGAAUAAGCCCCGGCUAACUUCGUGCCAGCAGCCGCGGUAAUAC
rnacentral:rRNA from 1 species